UACGAAGGUGGCAAGCGUUACUCGGAAUUACUAGGCGUAAAGCGCAGGUAGGCGGUUUAAUAAGUCUUUUGUGAAAGCUCCCGGCUUAACUGGGAGAGGCCAAAGGAAACUAUUAGACUAGAGUGUGGUAGAGGAAACUGGAAUUCCCGGUGUAGCGGUGAAAUGCGUAGAUAUCGGGAGGAAUACCUAUGGCGAAAGCAGGUUUCUGGGCCAUCACUGACGCUGAGCUGCGAAAGCUAGGGGAGCAAACAGG
rnacentral:rRNA from 1 species